rnacentral:misc_RNA from 1 species
GAUGAAGAACGUAGCGAAAUGCGAUAAGUAAUGCGAAUUGCAGAAUUUCCGUGAGUCAUCGAAUCUUUGAACGCACAUUGCGCCCGCCAGUAUUCUGGCGGGCAUGCCUGUUCGAGCGUCAUUUCAACCCUCAAGCCCUCGGGUUUGGUGUUGGGGAUCGGCGAGCCUUUCUGGCAAGCCGGCCCCGAAAUCUAGUGGCGGUCUCGCUGCAGCCUCCAUUGCGUAGUAGUAAAACCCUCGCAACUGGAACGCGGCGCGGCCAAGCCGUUAAACCCCCAACUUCUGAAUGUUGACCUCGGAUCAGGUAGGAAUACCCGCUGAACUUAAGCAUAUCAUAAGCGGAGGA